rnacentral:lncRNA from 1 species
CACUGUAAACCCAACGAUUGGGGCCUAAAUGCCUGUGCGCCUCCCAGCUACGGCUUCCUUUGAGUGACAAAGUCCGAUCUCGAAGGCCGUGCUUUUGCAACCUGCAUGCACCUGAAGGAAUUGCGAAUCUUGAAGGCAACAUCCGCUUCGUUUUUAUUAUAUAUACACUUCCUUAAACAUCGUAUCACAAAGUACAAUAUACACACUUUUGGACCCAACAAAUCUAUUAAAGGACCCUACCAAAUGUUAUUAGGAAAAAACACGCAAUUUUUUUCAUUUAAGAUACAUUUUUCUAAAAACCGCAGAGUGGCGCUACGGCAGUAUUUGUUUGGUCGACACACCACGUUGGUUGUAGUGAAUGCUCUUUGCAGUAAGGUGGUAUUUGAGUUAUAUUUUAGAAGUGCCUAGACAAAAUGUGCUCCUUGUCGUGUGCAGUAACCAUCCCAAACCCUUCGGACUCGUGUAACGCCAUUAGUUCGCCGUGUAUUUCGAGCGAUCCACCAGUGUCGACAGUGAGUGCCCUAGUACAGCGCCCGUCCGAGCUGCCUUUGUUCUGCCGAGCUGCCUGCCCGCGCUCUCGUGAAAACGUCUGGUACUGGGGCUUCGAAUCGUAGUGUAUGGAAGACUGUUGAAGGUUGUGCUUUUGUGGAGCUGGAGUUCAUCGGAAGCUCUACAGUGCUUGCGCCAGAGAAACGUCGGUGCCUCUGUACCUGUUAGACGAAGGAGCGUUUGCCAAGUCUUGAAAGGUAGACAUCGGUGACGGUGUAUAUGUUGAAAAGGGCCUGCUGAAGAGGCUGUGCCUGGAUGCUAACAACUCAGGCUUUCACUUUGCGGAGGGCCUCCUUAAAACUCCUUUUUCAAUAGAAGACGUUGAAGGGAGGUCCUUCUUUGGGCGGCUGUCAAAUGCCUUCCACAGAAGGAUCCGUUGGAUUCCAAGGUCAACACCAUACUAGACUACACAACGCAACAUUUCAGCCUACUUCCAGGGCAGCUGGAGAACUCGUCCUCAUUACUAGCCCGGGGAUAUUAAAUGGAUGUGUUCAAGCACAAA